rnacentral:rRNA from 1 species
GAUGAACGCUGGCGGCAUGCUUUACACAUGCAAGUCGAACGGGAAGUGGUGUUUCCUGUGGCGGACGGGUGAGUCACGCGUAAGAACCUCCCCUUGGUAGGGGAACCUCAGCUGGAAACUGCCGCUAAUAACCCGUAGGUUGUGGAGCGUAAGGACGCAUCCGCCAAAGGAGGGGCUGGCGUCUGAGUAGCUAGUUGGUGGGGUAGUCGGUUACGAAGGUCGUGAGCAGUAGCUCGUCCGAGAGGAUGAUCAGCCACACUGGGACGGAGACAAGGAGCAGACUCCGGCAGGAGGCAGCAGUGGAGAAUGUACCGCAAUGGGCGAAAGCAUGAAGGAGCAAUGCGGCGGGGAGGUAGGAGGCCUACGGGUCAUGAACUUCUGUUCGUGAAGAAGAAAGAAUGACGGUAACGGGGGAAUAAGCAGCGGCUAACUACGUG